rnacentral:rRNA from 1 species
CCUAACACAUGCAAGUCGUACGAGAAAGUCGGCUUCGGCCGGCGAGUAAAGUGGCGCACGGGUGAGUAACGCGUGGAUAAUCUACCCUUGAGUUGGGAAUAACGUGCCGAAAGGUGCGCUAAUACCGAAUAAUACUGAGUGACUAAUGUUGCUUAGUCAAAGAAGGCCUCUGCUUGCAAGCUUUCGCUGAAGGAUGAGUCCGCGUACCAUUAGCUAGUUGGUAGGGUAAUGGCCUACCAAGGCAACGAUGGUUAGCUGGUCUGAGAGGAUGAUCAGCCACACUGGAACUGAGACACGGUCCAGACUCCUACGGGAGGCAGCAGUGAGGAAUAUUGCGCAAUGGGGGCAACCCUGACGCAGCAACGCCGCGUGAGUGAGGAAGGUUUUCGGACCGUAAAGCUCUGUCGAGCGGGAAGAAAUGCAUGCUGGCUAAUAUCCAUCAUGCUUGACGGUACCGCUAGAGGAAGCACCGGCUAACUCCGUG